UGUAGCGCAACACACUGCGCUUCUUCAUGGGACAUCUUGCAAUCCCCUGCACUCCCAAAGUUUCAAGAACACCCUUUAAUCACAUGCAACAUGCCUGGUAAGUCUGACUCAUUGCCCUAGUCUGAGCUGCACUGAGAAAAACCCUCGGCUUCAAAUUCCAACUAGGACCUCCUGCCUGAAGUCACCCUGCCACCAGGAGAGAGUCGGCUUGCUUUCCGACUUCCACUAAAGCCCGGUUCUUCGUGUAACACUGCAGGCUUUUGAAGAGCCUCAGGCCCGAGGCCUAGCUACGGCGUACCUUGAUUGAGGCAGUUUGCUAGAUGCAGAAUACCCUGCUUCGAGGAGUUGAGUCAGGGAAGGCACCACUGGGUAACCGGUAUCCAUUUUGACUUGUUAGAAACCCACAGGGAUGUGUGCUGCGUGUGCCCAUGGAAAUGGGGGCCUGAUGCAACUAGCCUUGCUUUCCCAUUUUGAAAGCUCCAUUCAUGCUGCCUUAAAGCUACGUGAAAUUCACUGCUGUUGACAGGCCUCUAGCCACUGUACGCCUGCUUUUGGGAAGAAAAUGAGUUUCCUCUAUCUAAACCAGGUGCUUCCAUGGCUUGGGUGGGGCUCAGCCUGCCAUGCUCUAGAGCUAAAGGGAAGGAAACUCAAUGUGAGUACUUGCCUCGAGGAAAGGCCCUGAGUAUCCGUACAGAAAGGGAGGCGUGCAGCUGUUUCCAUGAGGUCUUAGUCGCUGUUCUGCUGUAGUUAAAAGGAAGUACCCUUUUCAGGACACCUAGGCCCCUCUGGUGUGCAUCAUUACCCUCCAGGAUCACUGAGUACCUCCAGACCCCUGUGGGCCUGCUGAGCAACAUCGAGGCCCAUAGGUCGGUUCCUCUUAGGCCCUCUGUGUAUGCAGACUGAUGGGCAACACAGUGAAGGUUCCUUAAGGAGAACUACAUUUCCAGAAUUCUCGAACUGCCUCAGGACCCCAUUUCUGGACAGCCCGACGUGCUUGGAAGUCUUCGUCAUGACCGUCGUCUGAGCUGCCUAGGGAAAACACUCUGCUUACAGAUCUUCUAGGAUCUCGUACCUGAAGUCACUCUUCUUGAGGAGAAAUUCAACAUCCUACCGUGCUGUGUCGCUAACAGGACACUCAGCGUGAGCACUUGCCUCAACGUAAGGCCCUGAAUUGCCGUGCGGAAGUGGAGGCGCGCAGCAGUUUCCAUGAGGCCGUAGCCGCUGCUCUGCAUUAUCUUGAAGGCAGUACGCUUUUCAGGACACCUAGGAGCCUCGCUUGGACACCCUAUUACCGGCAAGAAGAGUGAGUACCCCCAGGACCCCCUGGGCCUGCUAAGCACCUGCCAGGCCCGUAACCCGUCAGAGCCAUUCUGUGUAUGCCGAGGAUAGGGCAACACACUGCCCUCCUUCAUGGGACAGCUUGAAAUCCCCAGCGCUCCCACAGGUUCACGAAGACCCUUCUAGGAUGUCCAACAUGCCUGGCCUCUAGCCACUGUAGGCCUGGCUCUGGGCAGAAAAUGAGUUUCCUCUAUCUAAACGACGUGCUUCCAUGGCCGGUGUUGAGCUCAGCCUACAAUGCUCUACAGGACCUCGUAGUUGAAGUCACUCUGCUCGAGGAGAAAUUCAGCAUCCUACCAUGCUGUGUCGCUAACGGGACACUCUGCAUGAGCGCUUGCCUCAAGGACAGCUAGCAGCCUCGUGUGGGCACCCUGUUCCCGGCAGGAACAGUGAGCACUCUCAACUCCCCCGGG